rnacentral:rRNA from 1 species
UGGGGAAUUUUCCGCAAUGGGCGAAAGCCUGACGGAGCAACGCCGCGUGAGGGAUGAAGGCCUCUGGGCUGUAAACCUCUUUUAUCAAGGAAGAAGAUCUGACGGUACUUGAUGAAUAAGCCACGGCUAAUUCCGUGCCAGCAGCCGCGGUAAUACGGGAGUGGCAAGCGUUAUCCGGAAUUAUUGGGCGUAAAGCGUCCGCAGGCGGCCCUUCAAGUCUGCUGUUAAAAAGUGGAGCUUAACUCCAUCAUGGCAGUGGAAACUGUUGGGCUUGAGUGUGGUAGGGGCAGAGGGAAUUCCCGGUGUAGCGGUGAAAUGCGUAGAUAUCGGGAAGAACACCAGUGGCGAAGGCGCUCUGCUGGGCCAUCACUGACGCUCAUGGACGAAAGCCAGGGGAGCGAAAGGGAUUAGAUACCCCUGUAGUCCUGGCCGUAAACGAUGAACACUAGGUGUCGGGGGAAUCGACCCCCUCGGUGUCGUAGCCAACGCGUUAAGUGUCCGCCUG